rnacentral:lncRNA from 1 species
UUGCGCACCGUCUCAUGGACUGUAACCACCGUAUACUGCAGUAAGUAUAUCGCGAACCAUCGUUCCAUCUACAGUCCGUCUGACACGACUCAGACCACCCCGAACACACCAUCGCUCGGCUCUAGAAUAGUCGGAUCAGAAUCCGAACGAUCCUUUCCGGCGAUCUCCGACUCUCUCCAUCAGUUUUCUCCUCUCUCCCUCUCUUCUGUUCUGUCUCUCCCACUGUGUAGCGUAGAGAUCCCCUUUUCUUUCCGCGGAAAUCCCAUUAAAAGAGGCUGGGCGGUUACUCAGACGCACAUAACCGCCUCCCCCCAACCGCCCUAACCAUCCCCGCGCUCCUUUUCCCCUUUC